rnacentral:rRNA from 2 species
GCGCGGUGGUCCCACCUGACCCCAUGCCGAACUCAGAAGUGAAACGCCGUAGCGCCGAUGGUAGUGUGGGGUUUCCCCAUGCGAGAGUAGGGAACUGCCAGGC